rnacentral:rRNA from 1 species
AACGACGUUGGCGGCGUGGAUUAGGCAUGCAAGUCGAACGAAUGUCAGUUGUGUAGCAAUACAUGGCUGGCGGGAAGUGGCGAAAGGGGCAGUAAUGCAUGGGUAACCUACCUGGGGAUGGGCAUAGCCUUCGUUCUAACGAACGGUUAAUUCCCAGCGAUUCGGGCGGGAGGGCAUCCUUCUACCGGGAAAUGAAUUUCGCCUCGAGAGGGGCCCAUGUCGUAUUAGCUAGUUGGUGGGGUAACGGCCUACCAAGGCAAAGAUGCGUAGCGGGUGUGAGAGCACGACCCGCGCCACUAGCACUGAGACACUGGCCAGAACACCUACGGGUGGCUGCAGUCGAGGAUCUUCGUCAAUGGGCGAAAGCCUGAACGAGCGACGCCGCGUGCGCGAUGAAGGCCUUCGGGUGUGUAAAGCGCGAAGUGGGGAUAAAACCGCAAGGUUGAUUGAUCCACAGUAAGGACGGGCUAAGUUCGUGCCAGCAGCCGCGGUAAGACGAACUGUCCAAACGUUGUUCGGAAUCACUGGGCUUAAAGGGCGCGUAGGCGGUCGAUCAAGUCAGGGGUGAAAUCCUGCAGCUUAACUGUGAGAAGUGCCUUUGAUACUGGUCGAUCUCGAGGGAGGUAGGGGUUGUGGAACUUCCAGUGGAAGCGGUGAAAUGCGUUGAUAUCUGAAGGAACGCCGGAGGCGAAAGCGACGUACUGGACCUCUUCUGACGCUGAGGCGCGGAAAGCUAGGGGAGCAAACGGGAUUAGAUACCCCGGUAGUCCUAGCCCUAAACGAUGGGUACUAGGUUGUGGACUAACAUGGGUUCACAGUCCGAAGCAAAAGUGUUAAGUACCCCGCCUGGGGAGUAUGGUCGCAAGGCUGAAACUCAAAGGAAUUGACGGGGCUCACACAAGCGGUGGAGCAUGUGGCUUAAUUCGAGGCUACGCGAAGAACCUUAUCCUAGGCUUGACAUGUGCGAAAGCGGUAGCAAGUAGGGGACGGAAACGCACCCCGAUCGGUAUCCAAUCCGGAAGCUACCACAGGUGCUGCAUGGCUGUCGUCAGCUCGUGUCGUGAGAUGUCGGGUUAGAGUCCCAUAACGAUGCGAAACCCUUGCCUCCAGUUGCCAGCGGGUUAUGCCGGGGACUCUGGAGGGACUGCCGGUGUUAAACCGGAGGAAGGUGGGGAUGACGUCAAGUCCUCAUGGCCUUUAUGCCUAGGGCUGCCACACGUGCUAUAUGGCAUGAACAAAGGGAUGCAAACUUGCGAGAGGGAGCUAAUCCCAAAAAACAUGCCUCAGUUCAGAUCGAAGGCUGCAACUCGCCUUCGUGAAGUUGGAAUCGCUAGUAAUCGCAGGUCAGCAACACUGCGGUGAAUGUGUUCCUGAGCCUUGUACACACCGCCCGUCAAGCCACGAAAGAUCGGGGCAUCCGAAGUCGCCUUUACCGGCGCCGAAGAUGAAACGGUCGAUUGGGACU